AAUCCUUUGGCCACGUAUAUGCGAAUCUAUAAGAAAGGUGAUAUUGUAGACAUCAAGGGAAUGGGUACUGUUCAAAAAGGAAUGCCCCACAAGUGUUACCAUGGCAAAACUGGGAGAGUCUACAACGUUACCCAGCAUGCUGUUGGCAUUGUUGUAAACAAACAAGUUAAGGGCAAGAUUCUUGCCAAGAGAAUUAAUGUGCGUAUUGAGCACAUUAAGCACUCUAAGAGCCGAGAUAGCUUCCUGAAACGCGUGAAGGAAAAUGAUCAGACAAAGAAAGAAGCCAAAGAGAAAGGUACCUGGGUUCAGCUGAAGCGCCAGCCUGCUCCACCCAGAGAAGCACACUUUGUGAGGACCAAUGGGAAGGAGCCUGAGCUGCUGGAACCUAUUCCCUAUGAAUUCAUGGCAUAAUAGGUGUUAAAAAAAAUAAAUAAAUAAAAGACCUCUGGGCUGAAAAAAAAAUAAAAAUAAAAAAUAAAA